GGAGUCUGGGCCGUGUCUCAGUCCCAAUGUGGCCGAUCAACCUCUCAGUCCGGCUACCGAUCGCGGUCUUGGUGAGCCGUUACCUCACCAACUAACUAAUCGGACGCGAGUCCAUCUCUGAGCGAUAAAAUCUUUGAUAUAUCUGUCAUGCGGCAAAUAUAUGUUAUGCGGUAUUAGCGUUCUUUUCAGAACGUUAUUCCCCUCUCAGAGGCAGGUUACUCACGCGUUACUCACCCGUCCGCCACUAAACUAAAAAUCCGUCACUCCGAAGAGAUCCUUCAAAAUAGUUCCGUUCGACUUGCAUGUGUUAGGCACGCCGCCAGCGUUCGUCCUCGAGCCACUGAUCAAACUACU
rnacentral:rRNA from 1 species